AUCUAGCUGAAGAGUCCCAAAUAGGACGAAACGCGCGUCCUGGAU
rnacentral:hammerhead_ribozyme from 1 species